UAAGUUGUAGCUAAGCAAGCACUUCACUUACGUUGGAGAGAUCGCCGUUGACGGCGCUACUUAA
rnacentral:tRNA from 1 species